GGAGGCGUACAGACGCGCGGUCUGUAAAUCCGUCGGCUUAGCCUACCCAGGUUCGAAUCCUGGCGCCGCCA
rnacentral:tRNA from 2 species